UAAAAAACCCUUAACCUAACACUUUUAUUUCCUUUUUAAAACCUAAACUCUUUCUCCGCGCCGCUCAGCGGUUCAUCGUCUCCUUCGGAGACUCUCCAAACCCUUGCCCCAAGCUCCGAUGACAACGGAGAACGAGCAAAAGAUCUGGUCGUGAGGUACGCCUUUUUCCUUUACUAUUAACUACUUUCCCUCUUUUAAAACAAAUAAUGGGUAUAACCCGAAAAAGGAAAGAAAGAGUAUCUGCCAAAAAGAGAAAAGAGAGAACCCAGAAAUCACCUUUUUGUAUUCAAAAUUUUUUUAUUCUCAAUGUCUAUAUUGAAUGCGUAAGUUCUUUUUUUUUACAGGGAUUUUUCGGUUCUUAUAUCUCUUUUUUGUGACCAAGAAGCCGAACAAUCGAAUACAAUUGAAAUAAAAAAUAAAAUAGAAAAAAAACCAUUGGUUCAUCUUUGUUGUGUUGUUUUCAUUCUAUUUGUAGGUACGAUCGUACGGGGGCUGGACGUGGCGUGUACAGAGGCUAGCUGGAGGAGACGCACGCGCAUAGAGGCCCGUCACAUGCGGAGGGAGCGUGAAGAAGCGCUUCUGCUGCGGCGCUGGGAACCGAAAGCUGCUAGGGUUCCUUGCUCCUGUUUGCGUCUCGGGCUCAGUGGGCCAAAGGGUUUUUUUAGGCUAAUGGGUUUGAGUUUGUAACGGGUUGGGGUAUUUGGGUUUGUAGCGUCUGGGCUUAGGGUGUCUUGAAAUUUUAGGCUAGUUGGGCCUACUCGGAUUUGGCCCUGUUGUUGUAAAGACAUGGUCUGUGCUAUUUUUUGGACUUUUAAUUAAUUUUUUGUUAGUUUAAUUUUGUUUGUGAUUUUGGGCCCUGGCAAUUUGGGCUUAUUACACUAAUUACAUGCACA
rnacentral:lncRNA from 1 species